UACGUGGGGUGCGAGCGUUGUCCGGAAUUAUUGGGCGUAAAGAGCUCGUAGGCGGUUUGUCGCGUCGGCCGUGAAAUCUCCACGCUUAACGUGGAGCGUGCGGUCGAUACGGGCAGACUUGAGUUCGGUAGGGGAGACUGGAAUUCCUGGUGUAGCGGUGAAAUGCGCAGAUAUCAGGAGGAACACCGGUGGCGAAGGCGGGUCUCUGGGCCGAUACUGACGCUGAGGAGCGAAAGCGUGGGGAGCGAACAGG
rnacentral:rRNA from 1 species